GUAAAGUUCUGUCGGUCACAGGUGCUGUUUUUUUUGUACAUUUUAUAGAUUUUACAGUGAUAAAUUGAAAAAUAAAUAAUAUACAGAUUUUGUGCUAUGAAGAUAAUUUAAUUGCCUAAAGUUUUUUUUCUCCCUUGUCUCUCUCUCUCUUUUCUCAUGGCACUGGCUGUGGCUUCACUGGGUCUAUCCACCUGCUUCUCCAUCAGGUAUUUCAGUCUUUUUUAUUUUGUGUCUGUCAUUCUCUUUCUCUGUCAGCAGCUGUCCAUCACUGGGAAUUAAUACAAUUUAUGGGCUGUUAUGCAGUCACGAGUCUUACAAUGGGCCCCUCCGCUGUUGUUCUUCAGCAGUGAGCAAGGUCCUCCUGGGAAACGUGGACGGAUGGGCAGAAGAGGCGACCCUGGACCCCCAGUAAGUACCCUGUCCUCACACUUCAAAAUAAUGACAUUAGGCAGAUAUGGGCUCUGUGUUGUGGUAAGGCUGACAAAAGGAAGGGUGAGUCAUAAAACCUGAGAAACGGCCUUCAAGUUCUGGAAUCAUUUAUACAUCCUGAAUAUUUGCACCAAGUUUUUCUUACUUUACAUUUCUAGAACCUCCAAAUCUAAGCUUCUGAAACAUUAGCAUUCUAGAAUUAGCAUUCUUCUGAGAUUCCAGAAUAAAGUUCUGGAAUAUUCACUUCA
ensembl:lncRNA